ACGAGGGGCCAAACCAGGAAUUUUGUUACAGAUAACACUCGCUCCCAACGCAAUCACUGAGGAAAAGCCCCUAAUCCUCAGAUAAAUAAUC